rnacentral:lncRNA from 1 species
UUGUAUGAGGUGUCGGACUCAUCAUACGGUGGUCCACGAUCCUUGGCAGGGCCACCAUCAUCGUCAGAGGAGUAGUUGGGAGGAAGAGAAGAAACAAUCGGAGAAGAAGCCAUGGUAAUUUUAUGGAGGAAGAGAGUGGAGGCAAGGCAAUGGAGGGGUUGGGUAGCACAAGAGGAGGGUACCAGUAUAUUAAUGGCUCUUAGUUGCCAAGGGACAGAAAAUGGAUGAAAAAUGGCAAGAGAUGCGUCAAUCUCUAAUAAUGUAACGGUCUUUUGCAAGUGAAUGACAUUGAAAUCUCAGUGAAUUCUGGUAGAGAAAUAAAGAACUAAACUUAAUUUGCAAGUACUAGAACAUAGAAAGAUAAACGAUCAACAGCAUUGCAAACAGAAAAAUCAACAUAAUCUCCCUAGGGUUGCCCAGGGACU